rnacentral:rRNA from 1 species
UACGGAGGGACUAGCGUUAUUCGGAAUUACUGGGCGUAAAGCGCACGUAGGCGGAUUUGUAAGUCAGGGGUGAAAUCCCGGGGCUCAACCUCGGAACUGCCUUUGAUACUGCAAAUCUCGAGUCCGGAAGAGGUGGAGUGGAAUUCCUAGUGUAGAGGUGAAAUUCGUAGAUAUUAGGAAGAACACCAGUGGCGAAGGCGGCUCACUGGUCCGGUACUGACGCUGAGGUGCGAAAGCGUGGGGAGCAAACAGG